GAUGAACGCUGGCGGCGUGCUUAACACAUGCAAGUCGAACGGAAAGGCCGAAGCUUUCUUCGGUACUCGAGUGGCGAACGGGUGAGUAACACGUGGGUGAUCUGCCCUGGACUUCGGGAUAAGCUCAGGAAACUGGGGCUAAUACCGGAUAUGAGAAUCUCUUGGAUGGGGUUGGGGAAAGCGUUUGCGGUAUGGGAUGAGCUCGCGGCCUAUCAGCUUGUUGGGGGGGUAAUGGCCUACCAAGGCGUCGACGGGUAGCCGGCCUGAGAGGGUGUACGGCCACAUUGGGACUGAGAUACGGCCCAGACUCCUACGGGAGGCAGCAGUGGGGAAUAUUGCACAAUGGGCGCAAGCCUGAUGCAGCGACGCCGCGUGGGGGAUGACGGCCUUCGGGUUGUAAACUCCUUUCGCAACCGACGAAGCUUUUUGUGACGGUAGGUUGAGAAGAAGCACCGGCUAACUACGUG
rnacentral:rRNA from 1 species